rnacentral:lncRNA from 1 species
GAGUUUGGCUUGUUAUGAAAAGUGUUUGUUUUGGCGAGUUUGAACGUUUUUGAGCAUGUGUAAUGGCAUGAAUGCGUUAAGCUGUUGUUUUAGUGUUCUUUUGAUGAGUUUGGCUUGUUGUUAUGAAAAGUGUUUGUUUUGGCGAGUUUGAACGUUUUUGAGCAUAUGUAAUGGCAUGAAUGCGUUAAGCUGUUGUUUUAUUGUUCUUUUGAUGAGUUUGGCUUGUUGUUAUGAACAUUAUUCGUUUUGGCCAGUUUGAACGUUUUUGAGCAUGUGUAAUGGCAUGAAUGUGUUGAAUUAGUAAUCCCUUGUGUUAAGCCGUUGUUUUAGUGUUCUUUUGAUGAGUUUGGCUUGUUGUUAUGAAAAGUGUUUGUUUUGGCGAGUUUGAACGUUUUUGAGCAUGUGUAAUGGCAUGAAUGCGUUAAGAUGUUGUUUUAGUGUUCUUUUGAUGAGUUUGGCUUGUUGUUAUGAAAAGUGUUUGUUUUGGUGAGUUUGAACGUUUUUGAGCAUGUGUAAUGGCAUGAAUGCGUUAAGCUGUUGUUUUAGUGUUCUUUUGAUGAGUUUGGCUUGUUGUUAUGAAAAGUGUUUGUUUUGGCGAGUUUGAACGUUUUUGAGCAUGUGUAAUGGCAUGAAUGCGUUAAGCUGUUGUUUUAGUGUUCUUUUGAUGAGUUUGGCUUGUUGUUAUGAAAAGUGUUUGUUUUGGCGAGUUUGAAGGUUUUUUAGCAUGUGUAAUGGCAUGAAUGUGUUGAAUUAGUAAUCCCUUGUGUUAAGCCGUUGUUUUAGCGUUCUUUUGAUGAGUUUGGCUUGUUGUUGUUAAAGUGUUUGUUUUGGCGAGUUUGAACGUUUUUGAGCAUAUGUAAUGGCAUGAAUGCGUUAAGCUGUUGUUUUAGUGUUCUUUUGAUGAGUUUGGCUUGUUGUUAUGAAAAGUGUUUGUUUUGGCGAGUUUGAAGGUUUCUGAGCAUGUGUAAUGGCAUGAAUGUGUUGAAUUAGUAAUCCCAUGUGUUAAACCGUUGUUUUAGUGUUCUUUUGAUGAGUUUGGCUUGUUGUUAUGAAAAGUGUUUGUUUUGGCGAGUUUGAACGUUUUUGAGCAUGUGUAAUGGCAUGAAUGCGUUAAGCUGUUGUUUUAGUGUUCUUUUGAUGAGUUUGGCUUGUUGUUAUGAACAUUGUUCGUUUUGGCCAGUUUUAAGGUUUUUUAGCAUUUGUAAUGGCAUGAAUGUGUUGAAUUAGUAAUCCCUUGUGUUAAGCCGUUGUUUUAGUGUUCUUUUGAUGAGUUUGGCUUGUUGUUAUGAAAAGUGUUUGUUUUGGCGAGUUUGAACGUUUUUGAGCAUGUGUAAUGGCAUGAAUGCGUUAAGCUGUUGUUUUAGUGUUCUUAUGAUGAGUUUGGCUUGUUGUUAUGAACAUUGUUCGUUUUGGCCAGUUUGAAGGUUUUUGAGCAUGUGUAAUGGCAUGAAUGCGUUAAGCUGUUGUUUUAGUGUUCUUAUGAUGAGUUUGGCUUGUUGUUAUGAACAUUGUUCGUUUUGGCCAGUUUGAAGGUUUUUGAGCAUGUGUAAUAGCAUGAAUGUGUUGAAUUAGUAAUCCCUUGUGUAAAGCCGUUGUUUUAGUGUUCUUUUGAUGACUUUGGCUUGUUGUUAUGAAAAGUGUUUGUUUUGGCAAGUUUGAACAUUUUUGAGCAUGUGUAAUGGCAUGAAUGCGUUAAGAUGUUGUUUUAGUGUUCUUUUGAUGAGUUUGGCUUGUUGUUAUGAAAAGUGUUUGUUUUGGCGAGUUUGAACAUUUUUGAGCAUGUGUAAUGGCAUGAAUGCGUUAAGCUGUUGUUUUAGUGUUCUUUUGAUGAGUUUGGCUUGUUGUUAUGAAAAGUGUUUGUUUUGGUGAGUUUGAACGUUUUUGAGCAUGUGUAAUGGCAUGAAUGCGUUAAGCUGUUGUUUUAGUGUUCUUUUGAUGAGUUUGGCUUGUUGUUAUGAAAAGUGUUUGUUUUUUCGAGUUUGAACGUUUUUGAGCAUGUGUAAUGGCUUGAAUGCGUUAAGCUGUUGUUUUAGUGUUCUUGUGAUGAGUUUGGCUUGUUGUUAGGAACAUUGUUUGUUUUGGCCAGUUUGAA